rnacentral:rRNA from 1 species
AUUGAACGCUGGCGGCAUGCUUUACACAUGCAAGUCGAACGGGCUUGAGGGCUUGCUCCCAAGUUAGUGGCGAACGGGUGAGUAAUACAUCGGAACGUACCGUGUAGUGGGGGAUAACGUAGCGAAAGUUACGCUAAUACCGCAUACGAUCUACGGAUGAAAGCAGGGGACCUUCGGGCCUUGUGCUAUACGAGCGGCCGAUGUCUGAUUAGCUAGUUGGUGAGGUAAAGGCUCACCAAGGCGACGAUCAGUAGCGGGUCUGAGAGGAUGAUCCGCCACACUGGGACUGAGACACGGCCCAGACUCCUACGGGAGGCAGCAGUGGGGAAUUUUGGACAAUGGGCGAAAGCCUGAUCCAGCCAUGCCGCGUGUCUGAAGAAGGCCUUCGGGUUGUAAAGGACUUUUGUCAGGGAGCAAAACUUACCGGUUAAUACCUGGUGAGGCUGAGAGUACCUGAAGAAUAAGCACCGGCUAACUACGUGCCAGCCGCCGCCGUAACAC